AGAAAAUGCAAUGGAAAACAUGUGGAGCUGUGCAUGGUGGUGCACACCUUUAAUCCCAGCACUCAGGAGGCAGAAGAAGGUGGAUCUCAGCACAUUUUGUGCCCUCCCCGCCUCCAAAUUGCCUCAGUUACAAAUCAGAAGGCAGGCUUGGUGACCAGGACUGGCAAGCACAUUUUAAAGUCCCAUGCUGUGGAGUUGAUCCAUCUCAUCUUGAGUCAGAAGAGGCAGAAGUGGAUGUGAGAGAAAGAGACAUACAGAGAGACAGAGAGCCAAAGAGGGCAAGAGACUUGACUUUAAGAGACUCCUGUACUGACAACUCCAUGCAGUUCGGAACCAGAACGACUGCGGCUGGACCAGGGUUCAUGGGGACAUGGCAAAACGCUGAUACUAACCUCUUAUUCAGAAUGUCCCAACAAGCCUGUCACCCUGGCUACUAAAGAAUCCUCAGACUUCAGUGGUUGGCUUACCAACUGCAGUCUUCAGUUUGGUAUUUAGUGCCAAGAAGGAAAGUGAUCAUUUCACAUCCAUUGAUUGGUUCUCGAUUCCAGGCUGCACUGUAAAUAACUCAACAAAAAUCCAGUGGGAGGCUUUUCAGCAGGUUUAAUAGAUGACAAUGAUCUCUAUUGUUGGGAAGACCUUAUUAUUGGUCCUCCAGAUACACUUUAGUGCCCCUGGAGGCCUGAAGAAGGCACUGGAUCCCUGAAAUUGGAGGACCAGGCAGCUGUGAGCUGCCACAUGCAGAUGCUGAGAACUGAGCCUUUGCAAGAGUGUGAAGGUGGUGUUUUUAAGGCUUAUCUCAUUUUCCCAAAAGAUUAUCCCCUCCGGCCUCCUAAAAUGAAAUUCAUUACAGAUAUUUGGCCCCCAAAUGGCAAGCUUCCUCUGAUUUGGAACAAAAUAAAAACAGGCUGGUCUUCCCUUGUACCUGACACAGGCAAAUUGAACUGGCCCAGACAGCAGAGCUCUGUAAGACAUGUUGAUAUUGAUGGCUUCUUUGUCUCAGGGGCUAUAAGAAAUAUAACAGAUCUCAAAGGAAAAACAGUGGCUCUGUCAGCAACCAUGGCACAGGAAGGUCACCUUUUCAUCCUGGUGCUAACAUCCAGCUGGAGUGGCAGUAUUACCAAAAUAAAAUCCUGAAAGGAGAAGCAGAGAUCAUGCUGACCCAGAAAGUGGAGAUCUGAUUGCUGAGAUUAAAGGCUUGAUCCACCAUGAUUAUCUGUAAUAAAGUGAGGUGUUAGAGCCUGUGGCCUAGUGACGUGAACAUCGGGCCUGGAAGCAAGGUCAGAGUCAAAGUCUUUUUGAUAAAGAACCAGGAAUACAUACCAGCACAUCUGGGCUGACUGUCCUUCUUCCCAAGGGAUAGAUCAAUCUCAGAGAAGAUGGUCCUUCCUCUUGAUCUACAGGGUACUCUCUAGAUCAGUAGAGCCUCCUUACAAGUCACCACAUGUAAAUUGGAUUUACAUCCCUAUCAUCUAGAGGAUAGCAAGCACAGAGAACAGCAAAGACAAAAAAGAAAGGACAAAGAAC